CCGCGUCUGAUUAGCUAGUUGGCAGGGUAAAAGCCCACCAAAGCGACGAUCAGUAGCCGGCCUGAGAGGGUGAACGGCCACAUUGGGACUGAGACACGGCCCAAACUCCUACGGGAGGCAGCAGUGGGGAAUAUUGCACAAUGGGGGAAACCCUGAUGCAGCGACGCCGCGUGAGUGAAGAAGUAUUUCGGUAUGUAAAGCUCUAUCAGCAGGGAAGAAAAUGACGGUACCUGACUAAGAAGCCCCGGCUAACUACGUGCCAGCAGCCGCGGUAAUACGUAGGGGGCAAGCGUUAUCCGGAUUUACUGGGUGUAAAGGGAGCGUAGACGGCAGCGCAAGUCUGAAGUGAAAUCCCAUGGCUUAACCAUGGAACUGCUUUGGAAACUGUGCAGCUGGAGUGCAGGAGAGGUAAGCGGAAUUCCUAGUGUAGCGGUGAAAUGCGUAGAUAUUAGGAGGAACACCAGUGGCGAAGGCGGCUUACUGGACUGUAACUGACGUUGAGGCUCGAAAGCGUGGGGAGCAAACAGGAUUAGAUACCCUGGUAGUCCACGCCGUAAACGAUGAUUACUAGGUGUUGGGGGACCAAGGUCCUUCG
rnacentral:rRNA from 1 species